CCUACGGGAGGCAGCAGUAGGGAAUCUUCCACAAUGGGCGAAAGCCUGAUGGAGCAACGCCGCGUGGGUGAAGAAGGUCUUCGGAUCGUAAAACCCUGUUGGUAGAGAAGAAAGUGCGUGAGAGUAACUGUUCACGUUUCGACGGUAUCUAACCAGAAAGCCACGGCUAACUACGUGCCAGCAGCCGCGGUAAUACGUAGGUGGCAAGCGUUAUCCGGAUUGAUUGGGCGUAAAGGGAGCGCAGGCGGUCUGUUAAGUCUGAUGUGAAAGCCGUCGGCUUAACCGGCGUAGUGCAUUGGAAACUGGGAGACUUGAGUGCAGAAGAGGAGAGUGGAAUUCCAUGUGUAGCGGUGAAAUGCGUAGAUAUAUGGAAGAACACCAGUGGCGAAAGCGGCUCUCUGGUCUGUAACUGACGCUGAGGUUCGAAAGCGUGGGUAGCAAACAGGAUUAGAUACCCGGGUAGUC
rnacentral:rRNA from 1 species